UCCCCACGUCGGAUCGAUCGUUGUCGAUCCCGUGCCGGUCCUCCCCAUUCUUCCCCACCUCUCACCUCUUCCUUGGCACAAUCGGAUGCUCAUCGGAGCCCCAUCCUGGUGCCCUGACCUCUCCCCUUCUUUUCGGCCUCCCGGAUUCUUCUCCCACCACCCUCUCCACAUCGGAUCAAGCAUCCCCACACCGAAUUGAGCUUCUCCCUGUUGGAUCUGCCAUCCCAAGAUUCCCCCUUCUUCCUCCGUCGUCCUGUCGAAAUGCC
rnacentral:lncRNA from 1 species